GACUGGCAUGCAGCGGGCACGCCGUAGGGUGCUGCAGACUGUAGAGUAGUGAUGCCCAUUUUUGGUCAAAGUCAAAUGUAAAAACAAAAAGAUGUUGAAUAAGUACUAUUGAUGUGCUGAAGGGAAAAGAUCAGAAGUUAUUUAUUGGAAUCAUUGCCAACCUGAAGCCAGGAGACAGUGCUCUUUCUCUGACAGGCGAUUUCAGAGCAUCAUUUACUUUAAAUCAGCUUUAAUGUCUUAAUGAAAGCAUAGCUUGUGUUUCCAUGGAGAUCUGAGGGAUUAUUACCGCUGUCCUGGCGUCCUGCCCUGGCAGCGGUACCUGUCCCCCGGUGCGGAACGCGGGAGUCCGCAGGUGACCUGACGCUUUGUUUACGUGCGGGACAGGCCUGUUUGGGGCCGGUGCCUUGAAGCCGAAGGUCCGUGCUGAUCUGUGACAUCUGGGCUUUCAGAAGCAUGACGCGAGUGUGUUUCUGGCACCCCAGUCCAUGUGCAACACUACGCACAGCUCACCAAGAGCACGCGUUCGGAACUCUGAAGAACUGACAUGCUCUAAAAAACUUACUUUCACUAUGUUUACUGUGCCAUGGAUAAAUGUGUAGAUCCUCAGUCAGACUAAGUUUUGAUUAAAAAAAAAAAAGUGAACUCUCAGCCACCUACUGCUGAAAUGCUUCUUCAUUUCUUUGUUUUUUUAAAUCUUAUUUUGUAAGCUGAAUUUAGCGUAAUUACACUGGCUGCAGCUGUCUGGGUGCCGCUUUACACAUGCAGCUGAAGAAAGGCCUGCUCAGGGAUUCUGAGACCCGAUCUUUAUUUGGUCUGAUGGCAGUGCAGGUUGUCCCUUUAUUCAGUCUGAUGGCAGUGCAGGUUGUCCCUUUAUUCAGUCUGAUGGCAGUGCAGGUUGUCCCUUUAUUUCAUUAACCAGGAGAGUGGACACAACACCUCACUGCAGUCCCCAAUGUUACUGAUAAUGGCUUUUAUUCAUUAAUGAGCGCUCAUUAAUCAAGAUCUUAUUUAAAAUCCAAGUCCCACCAAACAGAUCACGUGACAUAAGUUGGGUAUCUGUGUUGAAUACCCUGAAAAAAAAUGUGAUUGUAGAUUUUGGGGGGAAAAAAAACAAAAGAAACAGUAGGCAUUUUUUGUAAUAUCACAUGAAACACUAUGGCUGGGCAGAAAAAAAUGCCUAAUGCUAGCUUGCUAGCCUCACGUGUGUACAGUCAAUAGCUAGCCAAACACUUCAUUAUUAAACUUUAUUUUGGAAAUGUGUAAUUUUUUAAAAUGUAAAUUUGUUUCCUAAGCUGUGCAUAAUGUAUGUUUCAGCAAACCUUUUUUGGGAAGUAACCCUUUCAGGACAUGGGACCUGUCUGAAUGAGUACCAAAUGGGAUCGGAGAGGGCUGUUGAAUUUAGCGGUGUUUUCCUGGCAUGGUGUUGGAUUUGGGAACGAGACGUGGACUUUGAGAGGGUGGCCAUUUUCAUUCUCUCUUCAGCAGCCGUCAGUUACUGCCGUGUCUUUAAGAAGCUGUCCAAUUAUUAUUAUUUUCUUCGUUUAUAUUUGUCUUGCUACCAAUAUGAAAGAUUUAGUUUAAUUUGAAUGGGAUAUGUGGUGCACCUGUUGCUUUUAUCUGGAAUAGUGACUUAUGGUAAAUAAAAAAGAACACAACGCUUCACAGUUAUGUUCAGCUGCUAAAUUGCGUAUAUGUUCUAAAAUGGUGUGGGGGUAGCCUUGGUCUUAAAUGAUCACAUUGGAUAAUGGAAACUGUUUCAUCUUUGUUCAGUCUUUCAACAACUGCAAAAGACACCAUGUUAUUAGGAUUUAUUGUAACUCAUCAGGACAAGUGCUGGGAUUCAUUCAACAGUCAUCCUUAAUCUAACUCUGUUUGACAGGUUUGACAGGUUAAUUGUUUGUGGAAAGAAACGGUGUAAAUGUUUUUGUUUGUUAGUUAAAAUGAAGGACAAAUGUUGAUUGAAUUCCAGGUCUGUCCAAUAAUGUGAGAAGUUAUUACACUGUUGUGGCAGAAGUCCUAUUUCAGUCACUAACACGCCAGAAAAUGGUUUCAAACAGUAAAACGGCGACUUAUUAGAGAAUUAGUUGAUUAAUGUUUGAAUACAUUUUUGAACUUUUCAUAUGUGUGACUUAUUCAAAUUAACUGAUUGAACAAAUGCCUUGUACAAUGUAUGUAAUGAUUCCUAAUAAAUGUGUUCCUAGUAACCCUGA